rnacentral:snRNA from 1 species
GGAUGUGACGGUGAUCUGGCUGCGACAUCUGUCAUCCCAUUGAUUGCCAGGGUUGAUUCGGCUGAUCUGGCUGGCUAGGCAGGUGUCCCCUUCCUCCCUCACCACUCCAUGUGUGUCCCUCCUGAAGCUGUGCACUCGGUCGAAGAGGAUGACCAUCCCUGAUAGAGGAGGACCAGUCUUCGGUCAAGGGUAUACGAGUAGCUGCGCUCCCCUGCUAGAACCUCCAAACACGCUCUCAAGAAAAGCAAAAGCAAAAGCAAAAAACGAACAAACAAAACGAAUCAGAAAGAUGGCCAGGUGCGGUGGCUCACCUCUGU